rnacentral:rRNA from 1 species
UGAGGAAUAUUGGUCAAUGGACGAGAGUCUGAACCAGCCAAGUAGCGUGCAGGAUGACGGCCCUAUGGGUUGUAAACUGCUUUUGUUUGGGAAUAAUCGACAUUACGUGUAAUGUUUUGCAUGUACCAUUCGAAUAAGGACCGACUAAUUCCGUGCCAGCAGCCGCGGUAAUACGUAAGGGGCGAGCGUUGUCCGGAAUUAUUGGGCGUAAAGAGUGCGUAGGCGGCAAAUUAAGUCAGAUGUGAAAACUAAGGGCUCAACCCAUAGAUUGCAUCUGAAACUGAUAUGCUUGAGUCAAGGAGAGGAAAGUGGAAUUCCUAGUGUAGCGGUGGAAUGCGUAGAUAUUAGGAGGAAUACCGGUGGCGAAGGCGACUUUCUGGACUUGAACUGACGCUGAGGCACGAAAGCGUGGGGAGCAAACAGG